GACGAACCGUACGAACGUUAUUCGGAAUCACUGGGCUUAAAGGGUGCGUAGGCGGCGCGACAAGUUGGGUGUGAAAUCCCUCGGCUCAACCGAGGAACUGCGCCCAAAACUGUCGUGCUCGAGGGAGACAGAGGUGAGCGGAACUUAGGGUGGAGCGGUGAAAUGCGUUGAUAUCCUAAGGAACACCGGUGGCGAAAGCGGCUCACUGGAUCUCUUCUGACGCUGAGGCACGAAAGCUAGGGUAGCGAACGGG
rnacentral:rRNA from 1 species